AAAAAUCUAUGCAGUUCCUCUUUUGAUUUGGAGUUUGUACUUUUUGGAUUGCCUUUACCUUACAUUCUAGAGACCUAAAACCUUUCAAUGAAAUAGAAUGUUCAAGGAAGUCGAUCGAUUUCAUCAAAAACUCACAUUUUUCAGGGGAGAUGAUCAUACCAGCUGUUUAAGUUAGAAUAAAACCACGUUCAACGUUUUUCAAUGCUCAUCCAUCGACUCCAAAGCGACAAGGAUUUCAUCAAGGUACACAAACACAUUUGGGAUUCCUCGUAGAAUUGAAUCGAUGAGUCUUUGAAAUGUCUGAGCAGCAUUUUUAAGACCAAAAGGCAUCCUCAAAUAUUCAUAUAAACCAAAUGGCGUAAUGAUUGCAGUUUUAUUUAUAGAAGUGUUAUUCAUAGAUUAACCACCAAAUCUCUUAGAUUUGGGAGGGGAUAUGGAUCAAGGUCCGGCAUUGCAAUUUAGUUUUCUGAAAAAAGUACCAAAAAAUGGAAACUAGCUCCUGAACAGAUUUAUUAAAUUUGGACGUGUUAUGAAGAGGUUUUUUUGAAAACAUGAUUGAUAGGAGGAGAAACAGACGAGUCUUCAACAGUGCAAAUAUGUGAAUUGCUAAGUUCUUUGGCUACAACAAACAUUUGCUUCAACUCUUCAAUUGAAUGGGAUUGUGCUCUCAAGUAUCCUUGCUGGUCUUUAGGCACAUUCCUGAUGAGGGCCUCCCAUGGUAAAGGAUGACGCAAAUCAUGGAUGUAUUCCUCGUCAAGGAGACGCUCAACUUCAUUUAUAACUUCCCCAGGGGGAAAUCCCGAUGAAUCGCACAGCAUAUCAGAAUUUUUUUAAAUUCUAUCUGAAGGAAUAGACCUACAAACUUCACCAGGUAAUGCUGAAGCCAUUAAAUAAGAUUUGGCCUGAUCUUCCUCAUCCAAAAAUAAAUCCAGCUCAAUUCUUCGAAACCAAUUUUCUGGAUCCAUCGCCGAGAAUUUUGGAAGGCGUAGUUCGGCUACGGCAAGAGUUAAGUUGCUGAUCUCUUCCGCUACCUACUUUUUUUCGAUCUGAGGGACAUUAUCUGCAUGGUCUUGACCAUCAGAAUGAGAUUUUUUAGGAGGGAUGAUAUCACGUCGGGGUCACCAACAUUAAGAUUUAAAUAUAUUUAUUUUAACUGGGUAAAAAUGAUCUUUCCUUUAUACGAAAAUAAGAAGAAAAAAGGUGAUGAAUAAUUAAUAUCAUAUAAACAAGUCGAACUCCUACAUGUAUAUACUGAAUAUCCCUGAAUGUCUAAAUUUGUUUAAUUAAUUAUGUUUUGGAUCGAUCAGAGAAGAUCAAAGUAGGAUAAUAAGAUAAAAAUAUAGGAUCCUUGAAUUUG
rnacentral:lncRNA from 1 species